rnacentral:tRNA from 1 species
UCCCUAAUGGUCCAGUGGUCAAGACUCUGGGCUCCCAAUGCAGGGGGCAUGGGUUUGAGCCCUGAUUAGGGAA